rfam:Phlebotomus papatasi Contig697.4, whole genome shotgun sequence.
GCCCAACUGAACUUCAGUGGUCUGGAGUGCAAGCUUCAAACUUGUAGUCGAUUCACGUCGAAGCGGUUCGAUUCCGCCUGUUGGGC